rnacentral:lncRNA from 1 species
GGUCGGAAGGUCUCCAUCUAUAGCUAAACAUCUGACACGUUUGUGCAACUCUGCACCUCUAAAGGCUCCAAAAGACUCUAAAAUCACCAUAUUUCUCCUAAACGUCCCUAAACCUGUAAAUACUCUAAAUAGACUCCAAAACAUAAUAAUUGUAUCUUAAAACACUUUAAAACACUUAUAGACCAUUAUUAAAAAUGGGUAAAAUAUAUGGUCUAUCAACUCCCCCAGACUUACCCUUUUGCUUGUCCUCAAGCAAAACAGACGGGCAGUCUCUCUGAAAGAGGUUUUAAAAACAGCAGGGAUUCACAUAAUUUAAAACUUAGAAUCAUCACCUCUACAAUAUUGCAAUCCACAUCUAAGAAGUUCUAAUCAUAGAAGCACAUUAUACAAUAUCCUAGCUUAGCAACCAAAUUCACCUAGCCAACAUCUUAGCAAAUCAUGUCUGACAUUCCCCUCUACCAACCUCAUUUCUUAACAUAAAUAAAUGUGUAUGCUUUACCUUGGGAGUAUCGAUCACAAGACACAUGGACUCUUACCCCAACAGGUAUCUGAGUAAACAUGUAGUCUUGUUCUGGUUUCUUCUACUCUAUAUCUCCCUUCUCUGAAUCCUUUUUAUCUCAAUUCCAAUGAACAAAGAUGCUGAUGCAGUCCAUCUUAUUCACCUUCUUUUCGAUUUUUUUUUUAUUAUUAUUUUUUUUCUUUUCUUGACAAAGUGUAGGCGUAUAGUGGGGUCAUCGGUAAUAUACCUACCCCUCGCUUCCAACAAUGUGUGAUCAUUCUAUUAGAGUAGAAUAAUGGGGUCAUCGGUAAUGUACCUACCCCUCUAAACCGCAAGAAAUCAUCUCAAUCUUUUAUUUUAUUUUAUUAGGAUGCCAAAGGGAGGAGAGAAGAAAACCAAAAUCACUCAGACUUUUACCUUUCAGACCUGAAGGAGGAAUCCGAUCCAGUGUAUAUUAAGCCCCAAGACAAGCAGUUAAGUCAAAUUAGGUUGGAGGUCAGCUUCGGUUCCUUCAAACAAUCUCAGCAAGUGUGAACAUAGUUGACAGGUUGAUCCACUUUAGUAUCUUUAGUACUAUCUGCAAUCAGUAAGUCUAGAAUGGUGCUAAAGAGUGGUUAGAUAACAAGCAUGAAUCUAAUAAGUUCAUUAUCCCCUUCUUGACUCAAUAAAAACAGUUUUGAAAACAUUUUAUAAAACUCAAUAGAUAAGCAAAUAUCAGUAAACAUCCCCCUAGACUUAAAUUACACUGUCCCCAGUGUAUAUCUAGUCGGAGCUAUGGUUAGAACAUAAAUAAUAAGUAGACAAUUUAACAAGUAAGAACGAUAACCUGCUCGACAUAAGUGUCGAUCGACACAAUGAAUAGACAAUCGAUCGAUGUUGAUGGAAGUGUUGUCGACUGAUAGUGACAUGGUCUCUUCGGUCGAUGGCUAGAGCAAUCAUUCGACACAAUGAAGAGACAAUCGAAUGUUGGAUAUGAAGCGCUGUUGAUCGUUAUCGAGCUGGUGUCAUCGAUCGAUGUGCUGAGCAAUCGUCUACUAGGAUCUGUUUUUUUUUUCUUUCUUUUUUUUUUCUUAACUAACUAAAACAAAAUAUUAGUAGAACCUCCCCUAGACUUAAACAACACUAUCACUAGCGCUAUCCAGUCUAAGAUUGGUGGAA